UCAGGGGCGUGUCUUCGAGAUAUCUCAUGGUCAACAAGAAAACAUUGGAAUAACAAAGCGACACGUUGGUUAGCGAAUUAUCUGAACAAAAGUUGCACGGUCCAACAAAUUUGCAAGGAAGCGCAGUGUAAAAGAUGCAGUCGCUGGUGAAACACAACUUCCACCCGGAAUGUGAGGCGGACAUCAACAAAUUGAUCAACACCAAGCUGGGCGCAUCCUACACGUACCUGGCCCUGGGGAUGUACUUUGACAGGGAUGAUGUGGCCUUGCCCAGCUUCUCCAGCUUCUUCCUGGAGCGCUCUGGGAAGGAGAGGGAGCAUGCAGAGACCCUGCUGGAGUACCAGAACACGAGGGGGGGAAACGUUCUGCUUCAGACCGUAGCAAAGCCCAGCAGAGAGGACUGGAAGGGAGGUCUUGAUGCGAUCUCCUUCUCUCUGGACUUCCAGAAGUCCCUGAACUCCUCCAUCCUGGAGGUGCACCGCCGGGCCGGUUCACACACCGACCCUCAUCUGUGUGACUUCCUGGAGCAGCACUUCCUGGACGACAGCCACAAGACCAUGAAGCAGCUGGGAGACUACGCCGGCAGCCUGGGCCGACUGGUUUCCUCCCAGACUCAUGGAGCCAUGGGAGAGUACCUGUUUGACAAGCACACUCUGUGAGGCUCACCUGGCUCAGAGGACCUGGGGAGUUUUUCCAGACAGAAUACCCCUCUCCUCUCACCCCUCAUCUCCCCUCCUCACCCCACACCUCACCUCCUCCCUCACCUCUCUCCUCUUCACUCCUCCCUCACCCCUGUGUCCUCUUCACCCCCUCCUCUUGCCACGUUUCCCCCUGUGCUCACAUCUCAGCAGUGACACAUCCAGGUUAGUCUAUUAGCAAUAACCACAUACCUCAUGUAUAGUACACUCAACACACAGUACUGAAAAUUAAAGCAGAACAAUACCUAGAUACCUCAACAAUAUCCUGUUUUACCAGUGGUGCUGAAACAUCGGUAUGAUGUUCCAGUGUUUCUCAAAUGAACAAGCAUUCCAGCAGUAUAUGUUACUGUGUACUCUGCAUUCCACCUUCAAAACUCUCCUGUGCUGUCAACCUCAUGCUCACUAUUUUAAAUAUGAGAUUGGUACAUUUUGAGGAUUUCAGAUCAAUGUAAACAAAGUUCAAUU